rnacentral:rRNA from 1 species
CACUAAGGUGGUGAAGUUGUUGAUGCCCUACUUCCAGGAAAAGCCUCUAAGCUUCAGUUCAUACUGAAUCGUACCCUAAACCGACACAGGUGGUCAGGUAGAGAAUACUAAGGCGCUUGAGAGAACUCGGGUGAAGGAACUAGGCAAAAUUGUACCGUAACUUCGGGAGAAGGUACGCUCUUGUUUGUGAAGGACUUGCUCUGUAAGCAAACGAGAGCCGCAGUGACCAGGUGGCUGGGACUGUUUAUUAAAAACACAGCACUGUGCAAAAUCGUAAGAUGACGUAUACGGUGUGACACCUGCCCGGUGCCGGAAGGUUAAUUGAUGGGGUUAGCUUAGGCGAAGCUCUUGAUCGAAGCCCCGGUAAACGGCGGCCGUAACUAUAACGGUCCUAAGGUAGCGAAAUUCCUUGUCGGGUAAGUUCCGACCUGCACGAAUGGUGUAACCAUGGCCACGCUGUCUCCACCCGAGACUCAGUGAAAUUGAAAUCGCAGUGAAGAUGCUGUGUACCCGCGGCUAGACGGAAAGACCCCGUGAACCUUUACUACAGCUUGGCACUGAACAUUGACCCUACAUGUGUAGGAUAGGUGGGAGGCUUUGAAGCAGGAACGCUAGUUUCUGUGGAGCCGACCUUGAAAUACCACCCUUGUAGUGUUGAUGUUCUAACUUAGGCCCCUGAAUCGGGGUUGAGGACAGUGCCUGGUGGGUAGUUUGACUGGGGCGGUCUCCUCCCAAAGAGUAACGGAGGAGCACGAAGGUUUGCUAAGUACGGUCGGACAUCGUACGGUUAGUGUAAUGGUAGAAGCAAGCUUAACUGCGAGACAGACACGUCGAGCAGGUACGAAAGUAGGUCAUAGUGAUCCGGUGGUUCUGAAUGGAAGGGCCAUCGCUCAACGGAUAAAAGGUACUCCGGGGAUAACAGGCUGAUACCGCCCAAGAGUUCAUAUCGACGGCGGUGUUUGGCACCUCGAUGUCGGCUCAUCACAUCCUGGGGCUGAAGUCGGUCCCAAGGGUAUGGCUG